UACUUUUCUUUGUCUACUUAAAUGAAAAGUG
rnacentral:piRNA from 1 species